rnacentral:lncRNA from 1 species
CAUGAUGUCCACAUGCCUCUAUAAACAACAAGCCAAACCUUCCUAUUCAAACCCUCCACCCCAUCCCCUUCACUCUCUCUCUCUUUAGACUGUUCCUUUGUGUUUGAGUUCUUGAUCAUGAGCAGCUAGCCACCCCUUUGCCGUCAACUCGUGAUGGCAAAGGGGUGGCACGCGCGUAGCCCAAGACUCACUAUUGUUGUCUGGAGGGAGCUGCUGGUGAUUUUGUCUACUUUUAUCUUUGUCCCAAGGUAAGGAAAUUGCCAUUUUAUUCAAUUUUAUGGUGAUUUUCUAGUUAUGAAUAGGGCAACUUGUAUCCUUUGGCAUUUUCACUUCCCUUUGAGUACUCUCUUAAUGAGCUCUUGGAAGUUUUUAACUAUAGUAAAACAAUAAUUCAAGUAGGAUUUGUGUAGUCCUAUUUGUACUUUGUUGAACAUGUUUGGUGUAUUAAUAAAUGUUGUGUAGUACUUUGGGAAGAACUAGUUGAACAUGUAUUACUAGUAUAUAUUUGGCCAGUACUGGCUAUAAUAAUUAAAGUAUUGUUUUCUGUUAAUGUUUGAAGAGUGUUUAUUAUACAUUGUUGUUGACUUCGUACAUCAUGUUUUUGCGUAUAGAUGUUGCAAUAUAAUAUAAUCAAUAAAUAUUGAAGAGGAUAUGAAAUUUUUUAUUUAUUUUUUUAAAAUGUUUGAUAACUUCAAUUGUUACUUUCAUGCCUCGACGUGAUUGGAAAUGUAUAAAUAUUUUCGUGUGUUUAACAAUGAGGUUUGUUAAGCCAUGUUGGUCACUAUCAUAAUUUGUAGUUUGAUACUUAAUUAAGCUAAUUGCACUUUAUGUUGCAAAAUACCUUGGGUAUAAUAACUUGAAUGGAAUUAUCCUCUUAUCUUGUGAUUACAAGUGUAGAUUGUUCAUUUGUGCCAUUUUCUGACUAAGAGAUGCUGGAUCUUACUUUUUCUUAAAUGUAAUAAUUAUUACGUUGAGCCUUGAAGAAUAGACAAUCACUUGUUAUUACGUUAAAAAUAAAAAAUAAAAAAAUUCAAGAUAAAAUGAAAUGAAUCAAAAUAUAAUUAAGUUUAUAGCGUAUUGUGCAAACACGAUUAGAAAGUGAUUUAACCUGCGUGAUUAGUGGUGAAAGAGGGAUAGGUCCCUAGAAGGAUUUUAGGGAAUAGAAAGGACAAGUGAAUUAUAGAGCUAAUUAAGAUAAGAGGAAAUUAGAGAUUUUGCCCAUUGAGAUUGAGCAUGACGAGCCACAACUGAUCCAAUAUUGAGAUAAAAAAGGAAAAACUUCCUUAGAUUACAACCCCUCACCCCACGCACCCCACCCCCACAAUAUAUAUACACACAUUUUUUGUUUGUGUCAAGACGAAUUUUACACACAUAAUUUAAGCACUCUUUUUCACAGAGUUUGAUAGUCAUAAUGUUAUCAUGAUGUGCUGAAAUAAUGGAGACACAAAAGGUAAUAACAAGUGCUACAUGUACUUAGACUUAGAUUAGCACUACUUAAUACAUACUCCUUGAAUACUAGUAUUCUCUUUGUUUCUAUUUACUUGUCACCCUUCUAAGUUGCACAUGUAGUUAAAAAAUUAUUCAAUAAAAUUAUUCUUAUUUAUUACUCAUCUUUAUUUAAUGCUUUUUUUUUUUUUUAUAAUAUACUAAUAUCUCUUCAUAUUUAUUACAAAGGAUAAAAGUAAAAAAAAAUCGAUUGUGUCUUGAGUUUAUGAAAUGACUAGUAUAAGGAACAUCUAUUUUUAGCAUGCACGACAACUAAUUAGGAAAGGUGAGAGUAUCAAUUUAUGUGACACCAUUUGACUUGACAUAAAAAUUAAGAAAGAAAUGAAAUAUCUUAAAAUUUAUGAUCUAAAACAAGUCUUAGACAUUUAAAUAACUAUAAAUCAUAUCAUUGAAGAUAAAAGAGGUAUUUUGAAAUUAAAUUCUUUUUAAUUACAGAAAGACGGCUCAGUUUCUUUUGAACGAACUGAAAAAAAAUGUAUUACAUAAAUUGAAAUAGAAAGUAUCAAAUUACCAAUAGUAUAAUUCAUAACCACCUAUGUAACUAUAGUCACCUAGUUAAAUGUUAAUAAGUUGUCAUCGAGUGAUAGGGGCGCAAAGGGAUCAAAAAAGAAAGCCACUUCAUCGGAAAAGUAUAUUGAAUAAAUAAAAUUAUUUUUUUAUAUAUAUAAUGAUGUUGAAUCUUCUUAUUUUGUUAUAUAUGUUUACUUCUUAAUAUUUAACAUCCCAUUAAUGAACAUAUUGUAUCCAAUUUUUUAAAGGCAGAGGCGUAAAACAAGACAUUUUAUCUGAUAUGAGGCGAAGCGUAAGUCUCG